rnacentral:tRNA from 1 species
GAUGUAGCCAAGUGGAUCAAGGCAGUGGAUUGUGAAUCCACCACGCGUGGGUUCAAUCUUGUCAGGAUCA